rnacentral:pre_miRNA from 1 species
ACGUAGGACUGUUUGUCUUUAAGUAGAGAUAAAUUGCUCUAAAAAGAAAUGAAUCCUAGAUAGUUGUCCCAUCAAGUGUCUCUUUG